GCAGGGAUGGCUGAGAGGCUAAAAGCACCGCGCUCGAGACGCGGAGCCUGAAAAGGCGCGUGAGUUCGAAUCUCACUCCCUGCG
rnacentral:tRNA from 1 species